rnacentral:lncRNA from 1 species
CUAGUUUUUUGUAUUUUUUAGUGGAGACGGGGUUUCACCGUGUUAGCCAGGAUGGUCUCGAUCUCCUGACCUUGUGAUCCGCCCGUCUCGGCCUCCCAAAGUGCUGGGAUUACAGGCUUGAGCCACCGCGCCCGGCAAAAAAAAUUUUUUUAAAGCUGCUUUAAUUGUUAAGAUUGACACCUUUCUCUUCUAACUUUUCAGAGAAAGAACAGUUAAGAGACUUUGCAGUAUUGGAGCUCUGUCAGCUGGGCCCCUAUGCCUCUCAAAGAUAACAUCAAAAGUGCAUUCAUGAUCCAUCUGAACUGGGGACGUGUGAAGAGAUAUGCUCGUGGAAGCAUGCACCUUGAGGAGAGGGUGG